rnacentral:rRNA from 1 species
GAUGAACGCUGGCGGCGUGCCUAAUACAUGCAAGUCGAGCGAACGGACGAGAAGCUUGCUUUUCUGAUGUUAGCGGCGGACGGGUGAGUAACACGUGGAUAACCUACCUAUAAGACUGGGAUAACUUCGGGAAACCGGAGCUAAUACCGGAUAAUCUUUUGAACCGCAUGGUUCAAAAGUGGAAGACGGUCUUGCUGUCACUUAUAGAUGGAUCCGCGCUGCAUUAGCUAGUUGGUAAGGUAACGGCUUACCAAGGCAACGAUGCAUAGCCGACCUGAGAGGGUGAUCGGCCGCACUGGAGCGGAGACACGGUCCAGACGCCUACGGGAGGCAGCAGUAGGGAAUCUUCCGCAAUGGGCGAAAGCCUGACGGAGCAACGCCGCGUGAGUGAUGAAGGUCUUCGGAUCGUAAAACUCUGUUAUUAGGGAAGAACAUAUGUGUAAGUAACUGUGCACAUCUUGACGGUACCUAAUCAGAAAGCCACGGCUAACUACGUG